UUUGAAAUAACAAUAACAAGUGUUGUAGCGAGCUCAGGGCCAAGUUGAGCAAUUUGAUGAUCAAUGCCUGCUGGAUCUGUGUUGUCGAUGAAUCUUAUCUGCCAAGAGAUGAUAAAGCAUGGUGUAGACAGAGAAAGAGAUGUCAGAGAAACAGAUAAAAAGGUAAGCAAGAGUUAUAGGUAUACCAUAAGGAAACGCACCGUGUAGAUUUAUUAUGAACGAUCUAAUAGACAAUUAUAUUUUAAAUCCUUCAUCAUUAAGUUUUCUGCACAAGUUCUUUUGCAUCGUUUGACUUUAUCUACACUCUUAAUGAGAGGAAAAACAGUUCAAUGGAGAAAUUUGUUAGUGCUUGACACAUCAAAUAAGAGAAACAAUAUCAUCAUGAUCACUACAGAGGCAAAAAUAAAGGAUAGGAUUAAGUCAAGUCACUUGCAUUGGCUUUGACGUUGUGCAGCCCACCGGCGCCAGUUUUUUUUUUUUUUUUUUGAUAACCGUGGUGUCGGGGCCAGCUUGCGCGCACCUCGACUAAAUCCAUGGGAUACCUGUCACCUCCCACCAGUAACAGGUACCGGAUAACUCUGUCCACCAAGGCUAGAACAGAUGGGAAGAAAACACCUAGUGUUUGUCUUUGCUGGGAAUUGAACCUGAGACCUCAUGGUGCUCAUCCCAACUUCAUUGAACCACUAGGCCACACCCUUGGGUGCCCACCGGCACCAGUUUUAGCAAGAUCAAAAUAUUUUACAACAUUGAUAAUGAUGCUAGGUAAAGUGCAUAGAAAGUUUUAAGCCAAAAAAUCUAAUUUGAGCUAAGGUGCAGUUUAGAUGGUGAAGUACUGGAAGUUCUAUGAUAUAGGUACUCGUAACAUUUUGAGAAAAUGUUUGAAACAGGAAACUGACUGAAGAGAUUAUUCCACUUUUAUUCUCAAAGGAUUUGAAGGAGAGGAAAACUUGGCAAAAUACCUUAAUAUGUUACUGAGAAAAGAGUAAGUCCAGUUAACCCACAAAUUUCAAAACAGAACAAUCACAGAUCUUUGAAAACAACUGCCAAUUACCUUCAGAGGGGGAUUGUCAGGAGCCAGUGCCUCAGCCACAAAUUGUGGUCCAAGUGCUGAACCACCAAUUCCAACAGAAAGAAUUUGUGUAAAACGGCUACCAGAAGGAGUCUUGAUCUGCAAAGUAGAUGUUGUAAUUCACAAUAAGUUGACCAAGCUUUGGGUUUCAACAGCCAGUAAGUAACCAAUCAGAAGUGCCAAAAUAUGCUUUCAAAUGUUGAGGCUUAAAGGAGAAACAGAUAAUAAGCCAGAAAACUGUACUUUAGAAGUUAGGAACAUACAUCACAACUAAAAAGUCAAAAGUUCCUUAUAAUCUUAUUAUACUACAUCCUCCUUUUCAAUUUGACACGAAGUUUAAGAAGAUAAAGGAGGCUUUUGAAUUUUGUGGCCUUAAACUAAAGAUAUGUCGAAUGUACCAAAAUGUCCUUUAAUCUUGUGGUCUUAAACAUGGCAGUGGAAAGUUUGAAACUGAAUAGUUGCCAAAAAAGGAUAAUGACGUUCUAUUUGAAACAGACUAAAAAGAAGUAAGACUAACAAAUUGAAACGGAGGGAGUAUUUCCAAUCCCAAACAAUCACUGAAAUUACAUUACUCAUAUCAUAUAAAUUUUUGACAAUAUUGAUUUGAAAUGCCACUUGAUUGAUCAAAAACAAGUAUAGAUCAUCACAUUGGAAAAAAAGUUAAAGACUUUUACAGCUUAAGAUCAUUUGAGCGGAACAAAAGGCAAUCCAGAUCAAUCAAACUACACCUCAAUUGCAAAUCGGCUUACGAGUCCUCUACAUAAGUUGCCUUUCAACAGUCAAAAGAUCCUUAAAAGCUUAUUAUGCUAUAUCAGUAUAUCCAUUCCCCAACAAUCGCUAAAACUACAUUACUCAUACCAUACAAUUUUUUCACUACAUUGAUUUGAAACGCCACUUGAUUGAUCAAAAACAAAUAGAGAUCAUCAAAUUGGGAAAAAUUUCAGAUCUCUACAGAUUGAGAGUAUUCAAUCAGAACAAAAGGCAAUCAAGAUCAAUCAACUACACCUCAAAUUGCAAAAUCAGCUUUAAAACUCCUCUAAUAUAAGUUGUCUUUCAACACAAAUUAGGGACUCUUAAUGCAGAACAAAAGGCAACAACAACAUACACAAUGUAGUCCCACAGAGUGGAAGCUAGGGAGGAUAGAGUGCACGCAGACCUUACACCUACUCCAAGCUAGAGACACUAUUUCCGGUACACCCUCGACUCAACAAAAACAGUCCAAAAGACAAAAGGCAAAUAAAAGACUUGACUUUCAGCUGAAAAUCUAAUAUAUAAGUUGUCUUUCAACAAUAAAUCAGGGAAUCUUAAUGCAUUAAAAAAUUUCUCAGUUAUCAAAAAAGAUAUCUAUUUUUGCUGAGGGAAAAAAACAGAAACUAGACACAUAACCACCUUUGAAAUAACAAUAACAAGUGUUGUAGCGAGCUCAGGGCCAAGUUGAGCAAUUUGAUGAUCAAUGCCUGCUGGAUCUGUGUUGUCGAUGAAUCUUAUCUGCCAAGAGAUGAUAAAGCAUGGUGUAGACAGAGAAAGAGAUGUCAGAGAAACAGAUAAAAAGGUAAGCAAGAGUUAUAGGUAUACCAUAAGGAAACGCACCGUGUAGAUUUAUUAUGAACGAUCUAAUAGACAAUUAUAUUUUAAAUCCUUCAUCAUUAAGUUUUCUGCACAAGUUCUUUUGCAUCGUUUGACU
rnacentral:lncRNA from 1 species